AGAAAAUCUAGAGAGUAUUGAUGAACUAGGAUUGGUUGCAUGAGAUAGUCGUGUCACAAAUUUAGAGAGGGAGGGAAUACAGGAGCAAGUCUCAAGGUCUAGCUCCCAUUUGUGUUGGAUCAGUGAAGUGUGCGCUUUGCGGCAUGUUAAAUUGGAGUUGGAGUUAAGAAAGAUCAAUCUCCUUGGAUUGUCUGGUGGAUGGGGUUCCAUUUGUUCUAGGAUUACUCUUGAACUGCAAGUGAGCAAAACCUAUAUUCAGCUUAGACUAGUUAAGUCAUUGACCAGGAAUUGCUGCGAUGAAUAUGCAAUCAGGCCAAUCCCUUUCACACUCAUAUG